rnacentral:rRNA from 1 species
GAUGAACGCUGGCGGCGUGCCUAAUACAUGCAAGUCGAGCGAACAGACGAGGAGCUUGCUCCUCUGACGUUAGCGGCGGACGGGUGAGUAACACGUGGAUAACCUACCUAUAAGACUGGGAUAACUUCGGGAAACCGGAGCUAAUACCGGAUAAUAUAUUGAACCGCAUGGGUCAAUAGUGAAAGACGGUUGUGCUGUCGGUGAUAGAUGGAUCCGCGCCGCAUUAGCGAGUUGGUAAGGUAACGGCUUACCAAGGCAAUGACGCGUAGGCGGCCUGAGAGGGUGACCGGGCACAUUGGGACUGAGAGACGGCCCAGACUCCUACGGGAGGCAGCAGUGGGGAAUAUGGCACAAUGGGCGGAAGCCUGAGGCAGCAACGCCGCGUGCGGGAUGACGGCCUUCGGGUUGUAAACCACUUUCGCCUGUGACGAAGCGUGAGUGACGGUAAUGGGUAAAGAAGCACCGGCUAACUACGUG